GUCUGACUUCUCCUUCUCUUUCAUGUGCAGGAAGACGAUGCUGAAGACGAAGAGACCUGCCAUCAUGGAGAAGACGCUGGCAUAGUAGGGGUAGGCUGAGGGGAUGAAACGCUCGUACUGUGUGUGCUGCAGGGGACGCACUGAAACCUGUGUGGAGGAGUAGAGAUGUGUGUAUCCGAGACGGUUGUAGUCCACUUUGAACUGGAAGACCCCGUACACAUCAGGCAGCGUGAACUGAACGCUAUAUUUACCUCCUUUGAGAAAGAAAAAACAGUAUUUAUGUUGGGUACAUUUAGGAUGUAAGCAUUACUUAAAGGUGUUCUCUGACUGCAGCAACAUACCAUUCUUCUUGAGGUACGUCCUGACGAAGGGAUCAAUCCUCACAAACUCAAGCUGAAUAUCAUCUCCAUCAAAGGGGAUCCAGCGGCCCUCAGACAACAUCUCAAUGACGAUGCUGAACUCCUGUGUUGGAAAAUUACACACCGAUUGAAAUAUAGACAUAGAAAAAUAUACACCCUGUCAUUCAGGCUAGAUGUUGAUGGUUGUUAAAUCAAUGAAACAUAAAACUCACCACGAGGUCAGUGAUUGUGUAUGCUGCAGGGGGAGUGGUCUCUCCAACGGGAUGAUGGGUGACAGCUCCCACCCUAAGGACUCCGGCCUCCUUGAACACCCAGCGAGACAGAGCCUCAGCCAGCUCCAUGUUCCCUGUCUGCUCGUACCUGACAGAAACAGCAACAAGAAGAGGAGCCUUUCAACUUUAGGAGUGUGACAACCAGACAAAGCUGUUAGUUCCAUUCUAGAUUUAACAAUAUUUUACUUUUUUAUCAGCAGGAGGAUCAGAAUAAAUACACACACUACAUUCAGAGGAAGGCAUUUCCUGUUGUGGUUUGUUUUGGCAGAUUGCGUAAGAAACCUGAAAUGUCUACAUACCAAAACACUUCUAAAAAGCAAAAUAUAUCAGCUGUCCUGUAUACUAACCAUGCUGCCUUAACAAAUUAUCUUUAAUGUUCCAGUCUUACAAAUUAUCUUUAUGAAAACUUGAGACAUAUCUCACCAGAGAUUUUUUUAGCCGCAGAUUCAAGGCAGUCUUUCAUGGGCUUUUAAACUGUGAACAUCUCAAAAAUCUAUAAAGACUUGCAAAUGCAUUUAAGAGAUUUUCCCCACAUCUACUGUGAAGGUCAAAUUAGUAUUAUUGGUGAAAUAAGUCGAAGGGAGCAUACAUUCCUCUGUGUGCUUUACAGACCCAAGUAACUAAGUUCUUCUGUUUGUAGAGCUCUGCAGGCAGUGUCUACAUGAUCAAGGAUACAUUGCACUGCCUCUGUCUCUCUCAGCUGCAUGUCUAUGGCCAUACACUC